rnacentral:lncRNA from 1 species
GUCAUUUUCGGGGGCCUCCUUUUUCAUUCUGUUCCCCGUAUUUUACAUACGAUAUCAUAUGAAUGUUGACCAUGUCUGCGGACGUUUCAUCCUUGCCUGUUGUGCUGUUUUCUUGGUUUUCGCCGCGCGCUUUCGCAACAAAAUGAAUGGAAUACCAGCUAGCUGCCGAAUCCGCUACGCUUCAUCGAACGUAACAUAGUUGGGUAAACGCCCUCUCGACGUCAUAGCUACUGUUCCUCCUGCAGAGCAACGUCAAAGCGAAUUUCGCUCCUAGCGCACUGCAGACGUAUAUGCAGCGUGCGGGAAAUGUGAUGUACCAAUAUGCCGCAUUCAUGUAAAAGCGGCUA